rfam:Gossypium arboreum cultivar AKA8401 contig_10328_3, whole genome shotgun sequence.
AAUCCAUAAUGAGGACACCUUCUCAGAAGAUCUUUAAAUCACUCCCAUGCAACAUACAGUGUCACAAGCUCAAAUUGAGCAAAACAAGAGAUGUUAUUCCUCAACUU